CGCCUCGGCCACCGCGCAGCUGCCGGUCCACCUCCGCCACCGCUUAGCCGUGCUCAGAGCCCGGCCGAGGAGGCUGCUGCCGCCGCCAGGAGCCCGCAGCCCGCGCCCCGAGCCCGCCGCGCCACCCUCCGAGGGCGCCCCAGGCCGCGCCAUGGUGAAGGUGACGGUCAAUUCGGCUCUGGCCCAGAAGGAGGCCAAGAAGGACGAGGCCAAGAGCGGCGAGGAGGCGCUCAUCAUCCCUCCGGACGCCGUUGCCGUGGACUGCAAGGACCCAGCUGAAGUGGUUCCAGUUGGCCAAAGAAGAGCUUGGUGUUGGUGCAUGUGCUUUGGACUGGCGUUUAUGCUCGCGGGUGUCAUUCUAGGGGGAGCGUACCUGUACAAAUAUUUUGCACUUCAACCAGAUGACGUCUACUACUGUGGAAUAAAGUACAUCAAAGAUGAUGUCAUCUUAAAUGAGCCUUCUGCAGACGCCCCAGCCGCUCGCUACCAGACCAUUGAGGAAAAUAUCAAGAUCUUUGAGGAAGAUGAGGUUGAAUUCAUCAGCGUGCCUGUCCCAGAGUUUGCAGAUAGUGACCCUGCCAAUACUGUUCAUGACUUUAACAAGAAACUCACUGCCUAUUUGGAUCUUAACCUGGAUAAGUGCUAUGUGAUUCCUCUGAACACUUCCAUUGUCAUGCCACCCAAAAACCUAUUGGAGUUACUUAUUAACAUAAAGGCUGGGACCUACUUGCCUCAGUCAUAUCUGAUUCAUGAACACAUGGUCAUCACUGAUCGCAUUGAAAACAUUGACCACCUGGGUUUCUAUAUUUAUCGACUGUGCCAUGACAAGGAAACGUACAAACUGCAACGCAGAGAAACCAUUAAAAGUAUUCAGAAACGUGAAGCCAGCAUCUGUGCUACGAUUCGGCAUUUUGAGAACAGAUUCGCCGUGGAAACUUUAAUUUGCUCUUGAACAGUCAAGAAAAACAUAAUGGAGAGAAAUUUAAUACCACAGCAUAACCCCACCCUUUGUAUUUUGUGCAGUGAUUAUUUUUUAAAAAAUCUUCUUUCAUGUAAGUAGCACAUAGGGCUUCACAAUUUUUUCAUCUCAUUAACUCAAUUAAAACCAUUAUCUUUAAAAAUCUUUUUUUCUUUCCAA